rnacentral:rRNA from 1 species
GAUGAACGCUGGCGGCGUGCCUAAUACAUGCAAGUCGAGCGAACGGACGAGAAGCUUGCUUCUCUGAUGUUAGCGGCGGACGGGUGAGUAACACGUGGAUAACCUACCUAUAAGACUGGGAUAACUUCGGGAAACCGGAGCUAAUACCGGAUAAUAUUUUGAACCGCAUGGUUCAAAAGUGAAAGACGGUCUUGCUGUCACUUAUAGAUGGAUCCGCGCUGCAUUAGCUAGUUGGUAAGGUAACGGCUUACCAAGGCAACGAUGCAUAGCCGACCUGAGAGGGGGGUAGGCCACAUUGGAAAUGGGACACGGGCCAGACUACUAAGGGAGGCAGCAGUAGGGAACCGUACGCAAUGGGCGGAAGCCUGACGGAGCAACGCCGCGUGAGUGAUGAAGGCCCUCGGAUCGGAAAACCCUGUUAUUAGGGAAAAACAUAUUUGGAAGGAAACGUGGCCAUAUUGACGGUAACUAAUAAGAAAGCCACGGCUAACUACGUG